rnacentral:rRNA from 1 species
AUACGGAGGGUGCAAGCGUUAAUCGGAAUUAGUGGGCGUAAAGAGGGAGCAGGCGGCAGCAAGGGUCUGUGGUGAAAGCCGGAAGCUUAACUUCAGUAAGCCAUAGAAACCAGGCAGCUAGAGUGCAGGAGAGGAUCGUGGAAUUGCAUGUGUAGGAGUGAAAUGCGUAGCUAUAUGGAGGACCACCAGUGGCGAAGGCGACGAUCUGCACGGAAACUGACGAUCAGUCCCGAAAGCGUGGGAAGCAAAUAGGAUUAUAACCCCUAGUAGUCCACGCCGUAAACGAUGAGUACUAAGUGUUGGAUGUCAAAGUUCAGUGCUGCAGUUAACGCAAUAAGUACUCCGCCUGAGUAGUACGUUCGCAAGAAUGAAACUCAAAUGAAUUGACGGGG